rnacentral:rRNA from 1 species
AUGAACGCUGGCGGCGUGCCUAAUACAUGCAAGUCGAGCGAACAGAUGAGGAGCUUGCUCCUCUGACGUUAGCGGCGGACGGGUGAGUAACACGUGGAUAACCUACCUAUAAGACUGGGAUAACUUCGGGAAACCGGAGCUAAUACCGGAUAAUAUAUUGAACCGCAUGGUUCAAUAGUGAAAGACGGUUUUGCUGUCACUUAUAGAUGGAUCCGCGCCGCAUUAGCUAGUUGGUAAGGUAACGGCUUACCAAGGCAACGAUGCGUAGCCGACCUGAGAGGGUGAUCGGCCACACUGGAACUGAGACACGGUCCAGACUCCUACGGGAGGCAGCAGUAGGGAAUCUUCCGCAAUGGGCGAAAGCCUGACGGAGCAACGCCGCGUGAGUGAUGAAGGUCUUCGGAUCGUAAAACUCUGUUAUUAGGGAAGAACAAAUGUGUAAGUAGCUAUGCACGUCUUGACGGUACCUAAUCAGAAAGCCACGGCUAACUACGUG